UUGUAACCCUGCUAUGGUAUAACUUAGUGGCAGACGGGUGAGUAAUGUAUAGGAAUCUACCUAGUAGUACGGAAUAAUUGUUGGAAACGGCAACUAAUACCGUAUACGCCCUACGGGGGAAAAAUUUAUUGCUAUUAGAUGAGCCUAUAUUAGAUUAGCUAGUUGGUGGAGUAAUAGCCUACCAAGGCAAUGAUCUAUAGCUGAUCUGAGAGGAUGAUCAGCCACACUGGAACUGAGAUACGGUCCAGACUUCUACGGGAGGCAGCAGUGGGGAAUAUUGGACAAUGGGCGAAAGCCUGAUCCAGCCAUGUCGCAUGAGUGAAGAAGGCCUUUGGGUUGUAAAGCUCUUUUAGUGAGGAAGAUAAUGACGGUACUCACAGAAGAAGUCCUGGCUAACUCCGUGCCAGCAGCCGCGGUAAUACGGAGAGGGCUAGCGUUAUUCGGAAUUAUUGGGCGUAAAGGGCGCGUAGGCUGAUUAAUAAGUUAAAAGUGAAAUCCCGAGGCUUAACCUUGGAAUUGCUUUUAAAACUAUUAAUCUAGAGAUUGAAAGAGGAUAGAGGAAUUCCUGAUGUAGAGGUAAAAUUCGUAAAUAUUAGGAGGAACACCAGUGGCGAAGGCGUCUAUCUGGUUCAAAUCUGACGCUGAGGCGCGAAGGCGUGGGGAGCAAACAGGAUUAGAUACCCUGGUAGUCCACGCUGUAAACGAUGAAUGUUAAAUAUGGGAAGUUUACUUUCUGUAUUACAGCUAACGCGUUAAACAUUCCGCCUGGGGACUACGGUCGCAAGAUUAAAACUCAAAGGAAUUGACGGGGACCCGCACAAGCGGUGGAGCAUGUGGUUUAAUUCGAUGCAACGCGAAAAACCUUACCACUUCUUGACAUGAAAAUCAUUACCCUAUUUCA
rnacentral:rRNA from 1 species